rnacentral:antisense_RNA from 1 species
CUUCAGGGAGCCCAGCCACAACGGCCGGUCCCCAGGCCGCUCCUGACCAUAUGUAGCGAUCAGCGCCUGCGCCUC